CCUACGGGUGGCAGCAGUGAGGAAUAUUCGUCAAUGGACGAGAGUCUGAACCAGCCAAGUCGCGUGAAGGAUGACUGCCCUAUGGUUUGUAAACUUCUUUUAUAUGGGAAUAAAAUGUUCCACGUGUGUGAUUUUGUAUGUACCAUAUGAAUAAGGAUCGGCUAACUCCGUGCCAGCAGCCGCGGUAAUACGGAGGAUCCGAGCGUUAUCCGGAUUUAUUGGGUUUAAAGGGAGAGUAGGUGGAUUGUUAAGUCAGUUGUGAAAGUUUGCGGAUCAACCGUAAAAUUGCAGUUGAAACUGGCAGUCUUGAGUACAGUAGAGGUGGGCGGAAUUCGUGGUGUAGCGGUGAAAUGCUUAGAUAUAACGAAGAACUCCGAUUGCGAAGGCAGUUCACUGGACUGCAACUGACACUGAGGCUCGAAAGUGUGGGUAUCAAACAGGAUUAGAUACCCUUGUAGUC
rnacentral:rRNA from 1 species